GAGAGCUUAAAGAGUAAAGCACUUGGUGUCGAAACAAGGCAAGACUUCCAGGUGCUUUUCUCA
rnacentral:ncRNA from 2 species